UACGUAGGGACCGAGCGUUGUCCGGAUUCAUUGGGCGUAAAGAGCUCGUAGGCGGCUGUUCAAGUCGAACGUGAAAACUCGGAGCUCAACUCCGAGCCUGCGUUCGAUACUGGACGGCUAGAGUCUGGUAGGGGGAUCUGGAAUUCCUGGUGUAGCGGUGGAAUGCGCAGAUAUCAGGAGGAACACCGGUGGCGAAGGCGGCGUUCUGGACUGCAACUGACACUGAUGAACGAAAGCCAGGGGAGCAAACGGG
rnacentral:rRNA from 1 species